AUACGAGGGGUGCAAGCGUUAAUCGGAAUUACUGGGCGUAAAGCGUUCGUAGGCGGUUUGUUAAGCAAGAUGUGAAAGCCCUGGGCUCAACCUGGGAACUGCAUUUUGAACUGGCAAGCUAGAAUACUCUAGAGGGUGGUGGAAUUUCCAGUGUAGCGGUGAAAUGCGUAGAGAUUGGAAGGAACAUCAGUGGCGAAGGCGGCCACCUGGACAGAUAUUGACGCUGAGGAACGAAAGCGUGGGGAGCGAACAGAAUUAGAUACCCUAGUAGUCC
rnacentral:rRNA from 1 species